rfam:Oryza nivara chromosome 5, whole genome shotgun sequence.
UUUAAGUGCAACCGUAAGUUUCCGCGCCAAACUUUGAUCGUCCGUCUUAUUUGAAAAUUUUUUAUAAUUAGUAUUUUUAUUGUUAUGAGAUGAUCAUAAAACAUGAAUAGUAUUUUACUCGUGACUUAUGUUUUUUAUUUUUUUAAAAAAGUUUUCAAAUAAGACGGACGAUUAAAGUUGAGCACGGAAAACCAUAUCUGCAUUUAAA